AAUGCCUUAGAUUUGCCUGGCAAACUUUUGACUUAGGUAAAAACACUAAAUUGUAACCAACAUUUGCAUUAUCCAACAGUAAUGCAUUUUGGAUAGAUUUUUGCAUUUUUCUUGUGGACUUGUUUAUUUUUUUUUAAUGGACUUGUACUUUAUUGGAUGGUUUACAGUGGAUAUAAAGAUUGGGAAGGUGAAGUAGCUGACAGAGCUGACAUACAGCUAAUACCAUUUUAUGCUUUUUAAAAAGAGAAACAGAAAAACACAGAGAGGGACAGACAGAAAAAGAGUGAGAGACAUAGAUACAGCAACAGAGAGAGAGACAGUGGAGGUCCUUGGCAGAGCCUCGUACAGCUGUUGAGUGCUGUCACACUGUUCAGAAAGGCCAGAACUAUUAUCUAUGACUGUGUAUACACACACACACACACACUGUAGGGAUUAAGACAGCGACAACACUUUGAAUAGACCUCCGUACUGUCUGAUUGGACACAAACAAGAGGUUCACUGAGUUUCUCAUAACAAGUGGGUGUGAAGUCCAGACUGAUGACCAGCUCCCUGUACCACAACACAUUUGGAAAAGGCCUUUUUCCUGUUUCAACACGUCAGUGCCCCCAUGAACGAAGCCAACUCCAUAAAGAGAUGGUUUCCCCUGUUUGGUGCGGAAGAACCUGCACAGAGCCCAGACCUCAAUCCCACCCAACACCUUUGGGAUGAACUGGAACGCCGACUGUGAGUCAGACCUGAUCACCCACGUCAGUGUUGGACCUCACUAAUGCUCUUGUGGCUGAAUGGGAGCCAAUCCAGAGUGUUUUUUACCCUCAGCUGAUAUUUGACACAUCACCUUUUGAAAAUGACCUUUUCAGAUGCGACAGUAGCAGAGGACGUGGCAGCAACAGCCUGACUCGAGGUUUUGUAUGAGAAACUCCAUCCUUCCAUUCAUCAUUCAUGCUUGCAUCUUGAAUUGUCUACUUGCCCUUGCUGUUGUCCUGCAUCUUUCUUUGUCACACGCACAUGCCACGCAUUACAAACACACACCAGCUCCACCCUCAACUAUUAACAUUUCGAUGCGUAUGCUUGCAGUUUUAGAUGUAUUUACAUCCUUUGUUGCUCUGCAAUGCACUUUGCGAGCAACCUGCUUUUUGUUAAAAGCACUUUGUCGAUAAAUUUGACUUCCCUCGACACUCAAUACUGAGUCCAUUAAGGCGCAGAGCCAUGGGGCUACUCUGUACGCAAGGGCCACUGGUUCCAGUAAGGUAUAUCUGCUGAGCUCUCAUUAGCAAGCAUCAUCAUAUGUAAUUCUGGCACGUGUAAUGCCAUUAGAGGGGAUUUGGCAUCUGUUAUUUGAGUAAUGGGAUUAGCUGGGCGGUAAAUCUCCAGGACCAGAACUGUAGGUCUUCCCCACUCAAAGGAAGACAGAUCGACACACAACCCAACCCGCCUUUUCCACAUGAGCGUAAUGCAAGUCAUCCCUUCGUCAUGGCUGAAUUCUCGCUAAUUCUUACUCUCCUGGAAGACAUUCAAUGCGUUGCGCUUGUUUAUACACAUGAAAAGUGACGGAAAGAGUUGUGCCAAGAAGACAAAAAAAUAAAGCUAGAGAGAGAAGUUCAAACCCUGGCUCCUUUCUCACCUCUGCACAGCUGACCGAUCACAGCGUGAAGUGGGAGUGAGUGUUUCGGAGAGUUACACAAAUGGCCGGACACAGAUCCCCCUAAUCUGACGUCAGAAAGGUGUGGGGGGAGGGGGGUUCCGAAGCCAUUCUACCAUCCGACAGGCACUUCUGAUGGAGUAUACUGACCCCUUUAAUGUCCACAGUUUGAGAACUAGUGUGUGUCAGGACUUAACUUAAAAUACUUUUUAGACCAAUACAAUUCUCAAUAGUAUUAAUCUUCCUCUUAUGUUUCUAAGCCCCCCUUGAUUUUAUGUACAACAUAAAAACCCAUAAUAAUGUGGAAUUUUUUAACUGAGUUACCCAAAGACAGCAUUGGCCUCUGGCCCCACUCACAAGCAGCCAUACAUAAAAGAUUUGAAUAAGAAAACACUUCACCAUACAGUUCAGGAAACUCUACUUCUUAAUGGCAAUAUCUAUAUUUACCUGCCUCACUGCAGCUGGCAGGGUUUCAGUGACCUCAGAGCAAACUUACAAAGAGACAAACAGAACUGAAUGACGCAAAAAAAAAAAAAAAAAAAAACAUUAUGGAGGCUCAACCUGGCCAGAGGAAGAGAGAAGUGUGUCUACUUUGCUAACAGCGUGAAUGCAUUCAUCUUCUGCAAUAACAUGGGGCUGGAAUGAAGCUCGUGUUUACUUUAGGUUGGAUGAUUACAGGGUCAUCUUUACUUGCUGCAAACCACAUUUCCACCGACAGACUAACGGAGAGAAGAAAAAAUAUUGUGCGGUUUCACUUUUUUCUUUGACUUUUGUAUUGUAAAGAGUUUUGUCUGAUGUAAGGCAAUAGUGGACACAAUUAAAUUGCUCUGAACAUCAUGUUGACUACUUUAUAUGCAAUACAUUUUCCAUAUUAUGAUAUAUAUUGGAAUUUGAAAAAAAUCUUAUUGGAUCUUAAAUAUCAAGUUGUCAAAAAGAAGAGGGACUUUUAGAGCUUAUUUACUGACCAAGGUGGCAACUUUUACUUGAGCCAUCAACUUGUUUUGUCAUAUUUAACUUCUUUAGUGUGGAUAGUUAUUUAGUUUAGUUUGUACUUUUGUUUUUGUUUUUUUUUUAAGAUUUUAUUGUUUAAUCCUGUUAACAUGUUUUGUGUCUGUCAUCUUUUGAACAUGUUGGAAUUAAUAAUAAUUUAGUAUGUUUUGUAGCUCUAUAGAUGAAUCAAACUGAAAGCUAAUGAAAGAAAAAUGUUGUGAUUAUUCCUGCAAUUGAAUUAGUUCAUUGUUUGAGUGCCAAACAUCCCCCGCAUUUCCAGGACAGACAGGACUGUUCUUCCUCUUUCCAGAGAGAUUUCAUUUGUGAUGAAAGUUCACAACUGUUGCCAGGGGAAUAAAAUCAGGAACUCAACUCCUCACCCGGCCAGUGUCAGUGCCUCUAUCUCUAACCAUUAAUAUGUACAGGACUGUGUGUUUUGAUGAAGAUGAAGACCAACGCUCCAAUAUAGAACAGGUGACUCAGCUUCCAGCUUGGCAGAGAAAUCCCCGGAGACCUUUGACCUCCAAAUCGUUUAGCAGCGCUUAUGGUUUGAGAUCUGCUCCAGGCUAUUAGAGAGAUUAGUGUCACGCAGAUCUGGGAAUGGGCCAAGCCUAUAUCUGUACUUCAUGGUAUUCUCAGCAUUUAUUAGGCUACUGAGCACCCAACCCAUGUUGAAAUCUGAUAUGUGACCGUAUAGU